AUUGAACGCUGGCGGCAGGCCUAACACAUGCAAGUCGAGCGGAUGAAGGGAGCUUGCUCCUGGAUUCAGCGGCGGACGGGUGAGUAAUGCCUAGGAAUCUGCCUGGUAGUGGGGGAUAACGUCCGGAAACGGGCGCUAAUACCGCAUACGUCCUGAGGGAGAAAGUGGGGGAUCUUCGGACCUCACGCUAUCAGAUGAGCCUAGGUCGGAUUAGCUAGUUGGUGGGGUAAAGGCCUACCAAGGCGACGAUCCGUAACUGGUCUGAGAGGAUGAUCAGUCACAUGGAACUGAGAACCGGGCCCGGACCCCAAGGGGGGGCAGCGGGGGGAAAUUUUGGAAAAGGGGCGAAGGCCUAAACCAGCCAGGCGGGGGGGGGAAAGAAGGCCUUCGAAUGGUAAAGCCUUUUAAGUGGGGAGAAAGGGCAGGAAGUUAAUACCUUGCUGUUUGAAGGUUACCAAAAAAAAAGGCACCGGCAAAUUUGGU
rnacentral:rRNA from 1 species